rnacentral:tRNA from 1 species
GCUCAGGGACCAUGGCUUAGUGGUAGAGCCUCUACUGUGCGUGCAGAAGGUACCAAGUUCAAUUCUGGGCACCUUUAGCA